rnacentral:rRNA from 1 species
GGUGAACGCUGGCGGUAGGCCUAACACAUGCAAGUCGAACGGCAGCACAGUAAGAGCUUGCUCUUACGGGUGGCGAGUGGCGGACGGGUGAGGAAUACAUCGGAAUCUACUUUUUCGUGGGGGAUAACGUAGGGAAACUUACGCUAAUACCGCAUACGACCUACGGGUGAAAGCAGGGGGUCUUCGGACCUUGCGCGAUUGAAUGAGCCGAUGUCGGAUUAGCUAGUUGGCGGGGUAAAGGCCCACCAAGGCGACGAUCCGUAGCUGGUCUGAGAGGAUGAUCAGCCACACUGGAACUGAGACACGGUCCAGACUCCUACGGGAGGCAGCAGUGGGGAAUAUUGGACAAUGGGCGCAAGCCUGAUCCAGCCAUACCGCGUGGGUGAAGAAGGCCUUCGGGUUGUAAAGCCCUUUUGUUGGGAAAGAAAAGCAGCAGGUUAAUACCCCGCUGUUCUGACGGUACCCAAAGAAUAAGCACCGGCUAACUUCGUG